rnacentral:rRNA from 1 species
CAGCCGCCGCGGUAAUACAGAGGGUGCAAGCGUUAAUCGGAAUUACUGGGCGUAAAGCGCGCGUAGGUGGUUUGUUAAGUUGGAUGUGAAAUCCCCGGGCUCAACCUGGGAACUGCAUCCAAAACUGGCAGGCUAGAGUAGGGCAGAGGGUGGUGGAAUUUCCUGUGUAGCGGUGAAAUGCGUAGAUAUAGGAAGGAACACCAGUGGCGAAGGCGACCACCUGGGCUCAUACUGACACUGAGGUGCGAAAGCGUGGGGAGCAAACAGGAUUAGAUACCCGGGUAGUCCCUGUCUCUUAUAC